UCCCAUGUGGCUCAGUUGGUAGAGCAUGGUGUUUGCAACGCCAGGGUUGUGGGUUCAAUUCCCACGGGGGAC
rfam:Salmo salar isolate Sally breed double haploid chromosome ssa23, whole genome shotgun sequence.